CAGCCGCCGCGGUAAUACAGAGGGUGCAAGCGUUAAUCGGAAUUACUGGGCGUAAAGCGCGCGUAGGUGGUUUGUUAAGUUGGAUGUGAAAUCCCCGGGCUCAACCUGGGAACUGCAUUCAAAACUGACUGACUAGAGUAUGGUAGAGGGUGGUGGAAUUUCCUGUGUAGCGGUGAAAUGCGUAGAUAUAGGAAGGAACACCAGUGGCGAAGGCGACCACCUGGACUAAUACUGACACUGAGGUGCGAAAGCGUGGGGAGCAAACAGGAUUAGAUACCCCCGUAGUCCCUGUCUCUUAUAU
rnacentral:rRNA from 1 species